rnacentral:rRNA from 1 species
GACGAACGCUGGCGGCGUGCCUAAUACAUGCAAGUUGAGCGCUGAAGGUUGGUACUUGUACCGACUGGAUGAGCAGCGAACGGGUGAGUAACGCGUGGGGAAUCUGCCUUUGAGCGGGGGACAACAUUUGGAAACGAAUGCUAAUACCGCAUAAAAACUUUAAACACAAGUUUUAAGUUUGAAAGAUGCAAUUGCAUCACUCAAUGAUGAUCCCGCGUUGUAUUAGCUAGUUGGUGAGGUAAAGGCUCACCAAGGCGAUGAUACAUAGCCGACCUGAGAGGGUGAUCGGCCACAUUGGGACUGAGACACGGCCCAAACUCCUACGGGAGGCAGCAGUAGGGAAUCUUCGGCAAUAGACGAAAGUCUGACCGAGCAACGCCGCGGGAGUGAAGAAGGUUUUCGGAUCGUAAAACUCUGUUGGUAGAGAAGAACGUUGGUGAGAGUGGAAAGCUCAUCAAGUGACGGUAACUACCCAGAAAGGGACGGCUAACUACGUG